rnacentral:rRNA from 1 species
GACGAACGCUGGCGGCGUGCCUAAUACAUGCAAGUCGAACGCAGUGGGGACGGGUGAGUAACACGUUGGUAACCUCCCAUCAGAGGGGAUAACACUUGGAAACAGGUGCUAAACCGAUACUGAUGGAUGGACCCGCGGUGCAUUAGCUAGUUGGUGAGGUAACGGCUCACCACGGCCACGAUGCAUAGCCGACCUGGGGGGGGUAUCGGCCACACUGGGACGGAGACACGGCCCGGACUCCUACGGGAGGCAGCAGUGUGGAAUCUUCGGCAAUGGACGAAAGUCUGACCGAGCAACGCCGCGUAAGUGAAGAAGGUUGUCGGAUCGUAAAACUCUGUUGUUAGAGAAGCGGUAUCUAACCAGAAAGCCACGGCUAACUACGUGCCAGCAGCCGCGGUAAUUC